UACGUAGGGCGCAAGCGUUGUCCGGAAUUAUUGGGCGUAAAGAGCUCGUAGGCGGUCUGUCGCGUCCGUUGUGAAAACUCGAGGCUCAAACCUCGGGCUUGCAGUGGAUACGGGCAGACUAGAGUGCGGUAGGGGAGACUGGAAUUCCUGGUGUAGCGGUGGAAUGCGCAGAGUAUCAGGAGGAACACCGGUGGCGAAGG
rnacentral:rRNA from 1 species